UGGGGAAUAUUGCACAAUGGGCGCAAGCCUGAUGCAGCCAUGCCGCGUGUGUGAAGAAGGCCUUCGGGUUGUAAAGCACUUUCAGCGAGGAGGAAGGCGUUAAGGUUAAUAACCUUAGCGAUUGACGUUACUCGCAGAAGAAGCACCGGCUAACUCCGUGCCAGCAGCCGCGGUAAUACGGAGGGUGCAAGCGUUAAUCGGAAUUACUGGGCGUAAAGCGCACGCAGGCGGUUUGUUAAGUCAGAUGUGAAAUCCCCGAGCUUAACUUGGGAACUGCAUUUGAAACUGGCAAGCUAGAGUCUUGUAGAGGGGGGUAGAAUUCCAGGUGUAGCGGUGAAAUGCGUAGAGAUCUGGAGGAAUACCGGUGGCGAAGGCGGCCCCCUGGACAAAGACUGACGCUCAGGUGCGAAAGCGUGGGGCAGCAAACAGGAUUAGAUACCCUGGUAGUCCAGCGC
rnacentral:rRNA from 1 species